GCUUGAAAACUAGCGUUUUUCAAGAAAUUGUUAACUUUUAAAUCAGAUUUACAGGUACUUGUAAAAUUGUAAAUCAAUUUUACAAUUUACAAGUUUACAAUUAUUGUAGCUGUACGGUGCAACAGGCUCCAGGUUGAAUGAAAAUAUGCAAACAAUUGUCAAUUGAGUGGAUGCAAACACUUUGUCGAAAACUGACCUUACUAGCCUAACAGGUAAAACAGUGUUGGCUGUUGUGCUUGCUUUGAAGAAAGACUCCUGGGAUUUGAUAUUCUGGAUGAUAAUUGUUGGUAAGUGAAGAGUAGUACGUUCAAUUCUUGGAUUUGAGAGUGUAACCCACCUACUUUUAACAAUUUAAAUUCUAUUAGGUUUGUCAUUGAUCACAUACACAACAUGGUUAAUCGGUCAAAGGGAUAUUGCAACUUUUUUGACCAGAAAAAACGCCAUCUUACGUCGUGCCCGUAAAUUAUUUCACUGUACAUUUAGAUGGUAGAGCUUGAACAAAAGUUCGAAACUAUGCUUAAACUUGGAAAUAGAUUGAUAAACUUGAUGAAAUACAUAUAUUUUAUGGUCGUUGCAAUACCCCUAUGUAAUCGUUAUUCAUCAGGUAAAUCAUCAUAAAAUUGUUUUCAAUAUUUUUCAAGUGUAAAACCGGUCUUCUGAUGCCAGCUAUAUUUUGGUCCGUCGUCUAUACAAUAUGUGUGAUUGUUGACUUCGGACUUGCAUGUGCUCGUGUCGAGGCAUUUUUAUGGGAUGUUGCUUUUUGGCUCCCCUUCAUGAAACUUAAUUAUACCGAGCGUAUGGGUAUAAAUGCAGCUCUGUAUGUCGUAAGAAUCAUCAAAUGUGUCUAUGAUCUUGUGUUAGGAGUGCUUUCAAACGUUGUGACGUACUCACAUUUCACGCAUACGAAGGAACUUGAACAGCAACGACAUGCAUUUAUGACACAAUUUCAGUAAUUCUGGUCCAUGAAGAAAGCAACUGUGGAAUGAACUGUCAAUUGUCACGUUUUAUAUUUCCUUUCAAUAAAACUCGGUUCAAAUUUGAAUCGAAUUUCAAAUCGCAGUUCACAUUAUUAUGUUUGCUCAGUUCGAAUAGUCAAAUUCUGUACACUUUCGAAAACGAUUUGAGAUCUGAUUUUUGUAUCAAAUUCAUUUUAAAUUCGGUAAAAUCUAAAAAAAAACUGAAAUCGACAUUGAAAUAAUUUGUAAAUUGGAAUCAUCAAUCAAGCAGAGAGUCUUCGUCAUUCGGAAUGGUUCGACCGAUAAUCAGAGAGUGCCUUUGCAUGAGCCUAAGAUCUACUGGAGCGUUAUUGGGAUGGUUUUAAGUUGUAAUUAGCUUAAUAAGUAUAAUUGUGUUGGCUGUUUUGCUUGCUAAAGACAUAGACUACUGGGACGUGAUAUUCUGGAUGGUUAUUGAUUGUUUGUUAUUGGUCGUAUACGCUACAUGGUCACUCGGUAUUUAUCAGG